rnacentral:rRNA from 1 species
CCUACGGGUGGCUGCAGUGGGGAAUAUUGCGCAAUGGGCGAAAGCCUGACGCAGCGACGCCGCGUGAGGGAUGAAGGUUCUCGGAUCGUAAACCUCUGUCAGAAGGGAAGAAAUUAUAUCAUGCUAAUCAGUGGUGUAUUGACGGUACCUUCAAAGGAAGCACCGGCUAACUCCGUGCCAGCAGCCGCGGUAAUACGGAGGGUGCGAGCGUUAAUCGGAAUUACUGGGCGUAAAGGGUGCGCAGGCGGUUGAGUAAGACAGAUGUGAAAUCCCCGAGCUUAACUCGGGAAUGGCAUAUGUGACUGCUCGACUAGAGUGUGUCAGAGGGAGGUGGAAUUCCACGUGUAGCAGUGAAAUGCUUAGAUAUGACGAAGAACCCCGAUUGCGAAGGCAGCUUGCUGCAGCGGAACUGACGCUGAUGCUCGAAAGCGCGGGUAUCGAACAGGAUUAGAUACCCCUGUAGUC